UGUCUCCUUCUGUGGAUGUUCCAAUGGAUCACCGUACACUUCGCUGGUGCUCGUUAGCAAAAACCGCGCACCGACUCUUUUAGCUAAUCCCAGCAUGUUCAAUGUCCCCACCACAUUAGUCUUGUAAAAUUACUCCGUCAAGGAUUAACAUAUUUUUAAUCCUACAUUAAUAAUACUACGACAUCUGAAAAAUUGAAGUAGAAACAAAACAACACAAAAUAAUUUGAAUAGUAAUGACGAAAAUAAAAAGGAUAUAAUAGUCUUGACGGGGUUAUGCUUGUAAUGAACAGGGGAAGCAGGGCAAGCAAGGUGAUAGAUCUGGUCAACUUCAAGCAAAAGUGGCUCAACGACAUCGUGUCGGAUGAGCUCAAACCUAGGAU
rnacentral:lncRNA from 1 species